UACGGAGGGGGCGAGCGUUAUUCGGAAUUAUUGGGCGUAAAGGGCGCGUAGGCGGCUGUACAAGUCAAAGGUGAAAUCCCUCGGCUCAACUGGGGAACUGCCUUUGAAACUGUACGGCUUGAGGCCGGGAGGGGUAGCGGAAUUCCCAAUGUAGCGGUGAAAUGCGUAGAUAUUGGGAGGAACACCAGUGGCGAAGGCGCUACCUGGACCGGUUCUGACGCUGAGGCGCGAAAGCGUGGGUACGCAAACAGG
rnacentral:rRNA from 1 species